GGUCGUUACACCUGCAGACAGUUCAAAACAGCAACAGGACCACAAGAAGGUCCAGACUUUGAGAUUGAUCUGUCUGUUAUUAACAGUGAAAAUGUGAAAACGACAAAAUCAACAACAGUGAAGUUCACCACAAAAACAUCAUCGACAACAAAAUCCACAACAUCAACACCGUUAGACGAGACAUCAAAUGAUCCAGCAGCAGUUCAGUCAUGGUUUAUCAUCGUUCCUGUGGGUUUAGCAGCACUGUUAGUUGUGGUCAUCAUCAUAUGGAAGAAAAGUAAAGGAAACAAAACACAACAGAGCGACAACACUGCUGAAGCCGAUGAUGAAGUUUCCUACGCCACCAUCAGCUUCACAAAGAAAACCAAGAAUAAAGACCGGCCCUGUGUCGAUGAUGAUGGUGACACUAUAACCUACAGCACUGUGAAAGCCUUCUCUCCACCUGCUGGAGUUUCCACUGAUUCCAGCGACGUCUAUUCCACCAUCAACAAAUAACCACCAUGCAGCAAGCACUUUUUUGAAAGUUUAACUCAAGUCAGUACAGAGAAGGUAGUUUAUUUAGCCGCUGAAUUAAGUCAUGUGAGAUAUUUUUAAAUAAAUAACUUACCUGUUGUUUUCUUAAGCACAUUAGUAGAUAUAAAUGUUCCCAUCCCUGAAUUUUUAAAAUUUUAUAUACCUUAAACAUAUUCUCAUGAUUGUCUAUGACAGUAUUACAUUACACACCGAGCACGAUAGGUUGUUGUGAAAAAGUCAUCUUAAAAAAAGCAAUGUGAAAAAAAUGAAGUGAUGAUGAGCUAGUUUUCAUGUUUCAACAAAAGGAAGAAAUGGAGAGUCUGAGUUCAUCCAGUUCUCACACGCAGGCAGCAGCAGGGAGAAUUUCGUGGUUUGAUCCACGACUCGAAGCUGCAUCAUGUUCACACAUUCCAGGAUGUCAGUGAGGCAGUUUGAGUGCUUGUUAGCAGAGCUGGGGCUUCAUCUGAGAAGGCAUAGAAAUCAUUUUUGAGUAGCCUGAGUCAGAGCAGCCUGUAACUGUGUGUCUGAGGUAAAACAGAAAUUUUACUAUUUCCAUUACUCUGCAUAAUCAGUAUAUUUGCAUUUUGAGCUUUGACCGCACUUGUUUUCAAAUGCAGUCGUCUGAUUGGUCACAUCCGUUUAUCCGGUCCCAAAAAUCAGGAAAAAAAAAUCGGGCUUGGUUCUAAAAAUUGAAUGCUGCGAAAUGAAAUGAUUAUAAAAGCUGUAGUUUCUGAUUUUUAAUUUUACAGUUAAAUGCAACACACACAGAUCAAAAUGACUCAUUGUUUUAACCUUCCUGUCGUGUUCGGGUCAAAUCUGACCAUUUACAGAUUUCAAAACUCAUAAAUUGUGUUUUACAUCCGAUUGCCUCGAGUCCUUAUGACAUCCUCCACACUUUGCACUUGAACAUAUAAAAGUGAUGAGCACCUCUUGAAUUUUGAGUCUUUUAAUCAACUUUGUUAUAUCUGUGGUGUAGCAAAUGAAUGGGAAUCCACCCCCACCCGUCCCUUUGGCCUCAGACCUCCUGAAUGGGCCACUGAAUGACAAAAUGAAAGACCCACUUUUACGACUUACUGAACAACCCACUGACCUACCCACUGAACUGAAUUUGGUGGUGAACAAUGUUUCUUAUGUUAAUUUAAGAGCUAUUAAAACUGUCCGGUCAAUUUUGGCUGGGAACAUUAAAGUAAGGGGUUGGGUGAACACAACUGGAGGGUUAAUUUUGUCAUUUAUAUAUUUAAUUUUUAUCUCUCCUCCUUUGUACUUGAGCUUUGAGCUCAGUUCAAAAGAUAAUUACAGACUGAUGUUAUGCUCCAUAUUACAACUUCAGUAUUUUCUGCAACUGCUUCUCUUUCUGUUGCCUGUAUUAUAAUAAGAAUGAACUAAAAAUAAACAGAAAAAUCUAAGUAGGGCGAGAGGCAGGGUACACCAUGGACAGCUCACCAGUCUAUCACAGGGUGUUCCUACUAUAUGAUUUCAAAUUGUAUUAAAAAUGAACAAAUAAAACAAAAUGAUCUGUAAUGGUGUAAAGAGUUUUGAUCUCUUUCACAUGUGGACAAGCAUCACCACGGACACUGUUUUCAAAAAUAAACCGUCAAGAAUAGUUGCAACUAAUUGUCUUCACACAUUUAACUUCCUCUAUUCUAUUAUUGAUCAGUUUCCACUGUUGCACAGUCCUUUAAAAGAACAACAAGGCAAUCUGCAAAAUAUAUUAAAUAUCAACUUAAAGCAUGUUGGUGUGUUUUUAUCACUCAUUUAAUAUCUAUGUUAAGAGUGAGAAGGAGUUAAUGAUGCUUAAAAGCAAUGAACUGAAUUCAUUCACCACGAGGAGAGAAAAGAAGUUAUGUGUUGCUAUGAGGAAGUGAGCAGAAAGUUGAUGCUGUAUUCAUCUCUGAGACUGUCUCAUUUGUGAGAUUACACUGAAAGCACGA